rnacentral:rRNA from 1 species
AUGAACGCUGGCGGCGUGCCUAACACAUGCAAGUCGAACGCGAGUGUCUUUUUCGUAAGAAAGGUGACAUUUGAGUGGCGAACGGGUGAGUAACACGUGAGUAACUCCCCUUCCGGUGGGGGAUAACUAUCCGAAAGGAUGGCUAAUACCCCAUAUGCUCCCUGACUGCCGGGUCAGUGAGGAAAGUGGGCUUCGUUAAGAAGCUCAUGCCUGAAGAGAGGCUCGCGUCCCAUCAGCUAGUUGGCGAGGUAACGGCUCACCAAGGCGUUGACGGGUAGCUGGUCUGAGAGGAUGGUCAGCCACACUGGGACUGAGACACGGCCCAGACUCCUACGGGAGGCAGCAGUGAGGAAUUUUGGGCAAUGGGCGCAAGCCUGACCCAGCGACGCCGCGUGGAGGAUGAAGGCCUUCGGGUCGUAAACUCCUGUUCUGAGGGAAGAAAACGGGGUGAGCGAAUAACUCAUUCCGCUGACGGUACCUCAGGAGUAAGCUCCGGCUAAUUACGUG